AUUGAACGCUGGCGGCAUGCUUUACACAUGCAAGUCGAACGGUAACAGCACUUCGGUGGCUGACGAGUGGCGAACGGGUGAGUAAUACAUCGGAACGUGCCUAGUAGUGGGGGAUAACUACUCGAAAGAGUAGCUAAUACCGCAUGAGAUCUAAGGAUGAAAGCAGGGGACCUUCGGGCCUUGCGCUACUAGAGCGGCUGAUGGCAGAUUAGGUAGUUGGUGGGAUAAAAGCUUACCAAGCCGACGAUCUGUAGCUGGUCUGAGAGGACGACCAGCCACAAUGGGACUGAGACACGGCCCGGACUCCUACGGGGGGCAGCAGUGGGGAAUUUUGGACAAGGGGCGCAAGCCUGAUCCAGCAAUGCCGCGUGCAGGAUGAAGGCCUUCGGGUUGUAAACUGCUUUUGUACGGAACGAAAAGCCCUCUUCUAAUACAGGAGGAUCAUGACGGUACCGUAAGAAUAAGCACGGGCUAACUACG
rnacentral:rRNA from 1 species